rnacentral:rRNA from 1 species
UACGAGGGGGGCAAAUGUUGUUCGGAAUCACUGGGCGUAAAGGGAGCGUAGGCGGGCUCUUAAGUUAGGUGUUUAAUCCCGGGGCCCAACCCCGGUCGUGCACUUAAAACUGGGAGUCUUGAAUAGUGGAGAGGUCAGUGGAAUUGGGGGUGUAGCGGUGGAAUGCGUAGAGAUCCCCAAGAACACCAGUUGCGAAGGCGGCUGACUGGACACAUAUUGACGCUGAGGCUCGAAAGCAUGGGGAGCAAACAGG